GCGCGCGCGGGACGCUCCCGGCCGGUGUCCGGGCCGCCCUCGACGGUCUCGUCCGGUACGCGCGCGUGCAGGACACCGGGGCCGUCCCCGGCGCCUGCC
rnacentral:tRNA from 1 species